UACGUAGGGUGCAAGCGUUAAUCGGAAUUACUGGGCGUAAAGCGUGCGUAGGCGGUUCGUUAAGUUCGUUGUGAAAGCCCCGGGCUCAACCUGGGAAUGGCAAUGGAAACUGGCGGGCUGGAGUAUGGCAGAGGGGGGUGGAAUUCCGCGUGUAGCAGUGAAAUGCGUAGAUAUGCGGAGGAACACCGAUGGCGAAGGCAAUCCCCUGGGCCUGCACUGACGCUCAUGCACGAAAGCGUGGGGAGCAAACAGG
rnacentral:rRNA from 1 species